rnacentral:rRNA from 1 species
CCCAGACUCCUACGGGAGGCAGCAGUGGGGAAUAUUGGACAAUGGGGGGAACCCUGAUCCAGCGACGCCGCGUGAGUGAAGGGGUAUUUCGGUAUGUAAAGCUCUAUCAGCAGGGAAGAAAGAAAUGACGGUACCUGACUAAGAAGCCCCGGCUAACUACGUGCCAGCAGCCGCGGUAAUACGUAGGGGGCAAGCGUUAUCCGGAAUUACUGGGUGUAAAGGGAGCGUAGACGGUGAUGCAAGUCUGGAGUGAAAGGCGGGGGCCCAACUCCCGGACUGCUCUGGAAACUGUGUAACUUGAGUGCAGGAGAGGUAAGCGGAAUUCCUAGUGUAGCGGUGAAAUGCGUAGAUAUUAAGAGGAACACCAGUGGCGAAGGCGGCUUACCGGACUGUAACUGACGUUGAGGCUCGAAAGCGUGGGGAGCAAACAGGAUUAGAUACCCGCGUACU